GAUGAACGCUGGCGGCGUGCCUAAUACAUGCAAGUCGAGCGAACGGACGAGAAGCUUGCUUCUCUGAUGUUAGCGGCGGACGGGUGAGUAACACGUGUAUAACCUACCUAUAAGACUGGGAUAACUUCGGGAAACCGGAGCUAAUACCGGAUAAUAUUUUGAACCGCAUGGUUCAAAAGUUAAAGACGGUCUUGCUGUCACUUAUAGAUGUAUCCGCGCUGCAUUAGCUAGUUGGUAAGGUAACGGCUUACCAAGGCAACGAUGCAUAGCCGACCUGAGAGGGUGAUCGGCAACACUGAAACUGAGAAACGGUCCAGAAUCCAACGGGAGGCAGAAGUAGGGAAUCUUCCGAAAUGGGCGAAAGCCUGACGGAGCAACGCCGCGUGAGUGAUGAAGGUCUUCGGAUCGUAAAACUCUGUUAUUAGGGAAGAACAUAUGUGUAAGUAACUGUGCAAAUAUGGAGGGAACCUAAUCAGAAAGCCACGGCUAACUACGU
rnacentral:rRNA from 1 species